GACGAACGCUGGCGGCGUGCCUAAUACAUGCAAGUUGAGCGCUGAAGGUUGGUACUUGUACCAACUGGAUGAGCAGCGAACGGGUGAGUAACGCGUGGGGAAUCUGCCUUUGAGCGGGGGACAACAUUUGGAAACGAAUGCUAAUACCGCAUAAAAACUUUAAACACAAGUUUUAAGUUUGAAAGAUGCAAUUGCAUCACUCAAAGAUGAUCCCGCGUUGUAUUAGCUAGUUGGUGAGGUAAAGGCUCACCAAGGCGUUGAUACAUAGCCGACCUGAGAGGGUGAUCGGCCACAUUGGGACUGAGACACGGCCCAAACUCCUACGGGAGGCAGCAGUAGGGAAUCUUCGGCAAUGGACGAAAGUCUGACCGAGCAACGCCGCGUGAGUGAAGAAGGUUGUCGGAUCGUAAAACUCUGUUGGUAGAGAAGAACGUUGGUGAGAGUGGAAAGCUCAUCAAGUGACGGUAACUACCCAGAAAGGGACGGCUAACUACGUG
rnacentral:rRNA from 1 species